CCUCUCACAGUUCAGCUGGUCAUAGUCACCCAGCCAAAUGUUCCCUUUGUCCAGCCUCCCUUGCAGCUGUGUCUGGUCACAUGUCCAACAUCAGCCAGUUAGGAUGUCAGUGGAGUCAUAGGUGGGAACUUCCACAUCAUCACUUUGAAGGCAAAGUUGCUAACUCUGACUGUCCCUUGCCCCCUCCUGCAGGCCGAAAUGCAGAUGUAGAUGAGGAAGCUUGGAUUCCUAAGCACUCACCUUGCUCAAUUCUGUUAGUGGAGAGUAAGGCAGUGCUCUGCUGAGUUAGGUUAAGGCGAUCAUGUCUGUCAGACUUUCACAGGUAUUCCACCUGGAAAGAUGCGGUGGGCAGGGGAACUCAGAGUAGAGAGAAAUCACACCAGAGUACAGGUCCACAGCUGUACACUGCCCUGUGAGUCCUGUGAGUUGAUCCUGUUUCCAUGAAAGAAUCUAAUCUUCUGCUGCACAUGACCACUGACUAGUAUGGAAGGAAGGACCAAAGAACUCCACUUAAAUAGAAUUUUGCUUCCCCUUCCUUACCUGUUUUUAAGGGCCAGAAACAGAAGAAAGGGAAAACCAGGUGAGAAGGAAGAAAAGCAAAAAAGAAAAACCACUCUCUGUCCCACUGUGGACAAUAAAGUUUCCUGUGUGUGGACAGAGACAAUGAAGUUGGUUUCAGGUCAACUGUGUCAAACUAGAUAUUUUUAUGUCUGAAAAUGACUGCAAAGUUUUACCAAAAAUAUCAUUUUAGGUGAGAUUCACUAGAGCAUUUUAGGCGAAGUCACUGGAAGAAAUAUUUUUCAUGUAUGAGCUCUAGAGUCUAGAUCAUUCAAUAAACUGGUUAAAACUCCCCAAACAAGAACAAAUUUCCCCACCUUGAAUGGGAAUUCCAGCUUAAUUCCUACCCUAAUUUGGCUGUGGUUUUCUGCCUUAUGGAAAAAAACAGUACACAGAAGGGAAAGAGAGAGUUUGGGUUGGUCGUGUGGGGAUUCCAGUGACCUAGGCUCUCAGGGCCUCGAGGAACUGAAGACAGAUCCGCAGUGGCACGCUGGUGCCGUUGCAGGACGCUGUGGAGGACGGGAAGGGCACCGCUCCUCUGCCACAGGUGCUGUGCCCGGGCCUGUGGGAUGAGCCCCACAGGGCUACCCCCUGGCCUUCUGUCCUUUGUUCACGUCUGCCCAGGACAGUUGGCAAAACAGCUGGUUGGUAAAAUUGGGCAGGAUGAACUGGGCAUGGUCAGCACACUCCUUGCUUGUCCUCCUGAGAGUCACCCAUGCCAUUUCCCCUCCAUGGUGGCCCCAGGGCCUCGGGGGCUCAGGGAUCCCCUGGACUGGAUGCCAACAGCAGGAGGUCCUGUCCCUCUGGUGUGAGCGUCCUGCAGCCGGGCCUUCCUCAGCACCGAAGGUGACGUUCUGGCUUCAUUCCAUGUGAGUGCUUUGUGUGUGUUACUUCUCAGAGCCCGUGGAGAGCAAAGGGUCGAUGUUCCUGAGCCCUGUGGGCCCAGCCAGGGUGCAGCUCUCUGUUGCUCUAGAUGGCAAAAACCAGAGCCAGAAGACACUGGAACCCAGAGAGGUGGGGAGGGCGCAGGAUUGAAGAUGCUGUGUGGUGACUGGGCACUCUGGCAGGAGCAAACUCCUACAGCCGCUUAUCCCAGACCCACACGUGGGGAAGAGUCAGACUGCAAUUGUCUGUGAGUGCUUAAGGAUGACCUGUAGGGAACAGCGCUGUACCAGGUGAAGACUUCCCGAAAGUAACUAACACUCCACGAGGUGUUUUACAGGGCUUGUGGGAGAGGCCAUCUGACACCCAAUACAUUUAGGGUCUAAUACAGUUGGAUGAACUGUCAACUUUUCUUCCUGCCAUGAAAACCGUAUUUUCCUAACAGGUUUCUACUCAGAUUCUUUCCAAUUUUACCCUUCUUGCUUUAUUGAUUCUGGAGUCUGGUGGAGAAGCUAAGAGACUAGAUUUAUUUAAAGGAACCGAUCAAUGAAAUCCAGCUGACCCACUUCAAAUCCAGUUGAAGAGCUGCAGCUCGUCAAGGAUGCAGUGUCCGGAAGAUAAUCACAGCCGGUGUAAAGAAUGGGGGCGCAGGGGGAGGCACUGCUCUCUUAGCUUUCCGUUCUGUGCUGUUUUCCUGUAGGGGUAGAAAAGCCUCAGUUCAGCACAGUCCUGGCCCAAACUGUCUCGCGAUGCUGUUUGCACAGGUUCCCGUCACAGUCCAGCUACCAGGACCAGACUGGCCGUGGGGAGUUGGGUUUGCCAUGUUGCGGGCUGUGUAUUUGCAAUAGGGCAGAUUGUGGUCUUAAUUGGGGUCACGUGGGUCUUUGGGGUGGCGCACCAAGGUCACUCCGUCCUUCCGUCUCACUUCUAUGGUUUCUCAUUAGCAUUUCGAAUGCCAAAGCGCAGCAAGCGUGGCCAGGCCAGACAGGGUAUUCCCUUCGGGACAAGCCGCGGGCUCGCAGCGCUCGCGCAGUAGAAGAUCCGAUCCAAGCUGUCAACAAUGAUUCCCCUCGAAGGCGUGGAGCUCUCCUCUCGGGAGGCGGAGGCGGAGCCGGGCAGAGCGCACGGAGCAGAGACGCUCGGAAGGACCAGGUCUGCGUGUCCAGCGCCGCCCAGCACUCACCUCCGGGACUUCAGGUACUGGCAGACAAGAUGGACGAGGAGCACGAGCGAGAGAACUGGAGAGAACUGGACCAGCGGGGGCAGCGCCCAGAGGGAGCACAGAGGAUGUCUCCCUCUGGGCAGAGAGGAGCCCGGGAGAGCCACACAUGCCAGGCCACGCACGUCUGGGUGCCUGUCAUGCACUGGCCUCUUCCAGGAGCCGGGAUUCCUGGUGCAAAUCCAACCGUGACCUUGGCCUGGUCUGGCUGAUGUCCCAGAGCAUCUGGUUGCUAUGGAGACCAUGGCUGCUGGGAGAAUGAGGGCCAUGACUUACAGACGUUGGGGUCACCUCGGGCUCCACCAGACCUGGCUGGUUCUCCACAGUGACAACAGUGACCGCACACCCCACGCCCGUCACCUCGCUGUGCACGAGCUGCCAUGGUCCUAACCCGCAGCCUAGUGGGGCUGGGCUCCCUUGUUUUGCUUUGGUUUGUUUUACCUUAAAUCCACUGCGCUGCCCAUGCAGCCUGUGUGCCCUGCACUUGCCCUUCCUCCUCCUGUGACUGCAGCCCGGUCCUCGGGCAGAGAGCAGUGCUACCUCCGCCAGAGCCACGCAGAAGGGCAAGGGGCCGCGAGGCCGGGUCCCUGAAGGACAGACAGGCGUGGCUGCCCAGGGAGCCCACGGCCGUGCUAGAAAGGACCCCAUGGCUGGGCAAAGCGGAAGCAACAGAUCCUCUGGCUGUGUGCCGUGCUGAGGACGGAUCCGGGCCUGGACAUGCUGGGUACACCCAGACCCUCGGAGCUCCCAGCCCGGGAUGAUUGUGGACCCAUUCGGUAAACGCAGACCUGGGCUGCCGAGUCUGUGUUGUGAGGAAGCCCUGAGGACGACGCAGCCGCGGCUCUCGGAGCCCAGGAAGCCUGUCUUCCCGCCUUCACGUCUCUGCAGCGCGUGUGGCCAUGGAACAAGGGGAUCGGACCUAAAGGACAUCAAAGCCGGGCGCCACCAGCAUACCUGCCUUCUGGAGCUGCGGAGGAGGUUCUAAUGAAGCCGGCACUGGGAGCCGAGACCCCCGUGGACACGGCAGUUCAAAGGGAAUAUUUCAACAAUGAUUACAUUUUGUAAAUCUUUUUAUGAAAGAGACAGCUUAUUUCCUGCUUUUUCAUGAAAAAUAGAUUCUAUCCAUGAAAGGGAGCCCGCGCCACGGAAGCUGCCCGGGAUCUGAGGUGCGGCAUGGAGAUUAAGGAGACAAGAACCCGACAAAAUCGCCCCAAGUGCCCGUGCCCUGGCUGGGACGGCUGCCGGAUGUGCGGGGCGGGGCCGGACAGCACGGCCCGAACCCCACGUUUGGGGUCUGCUCUCUGUGUUUUGAUUCCACCAAAGCCAAAGACUAUCAGGAGGCCAUUGGGCCACCUGUUCUAUCACACGAGAGCAAGAUGAAAGGUUCUAGUUACAGACUCGCUAAGUGGUGUAUUUUAAUGCCCCGAGAUGGGACAAACUCUUUUCCAUAUGGGAAGCUGGCCCAUAAAAGGCUGGCUCUGCUCGCAGACAUAAAGCGGGCUUUCUUAGGGCCAGAAACAGAGGAGUGGCCCGGCCCUUUCUAAGUUUGGAUUUUCACAUUAAAAUAAUCUUUUGCCUGGCAGGGAGGGAGUUGCAGAGGAUGGGGAAGGAAGGGAAUAUGAUUUCCUGGGGAGCUAUGAAAUGAGAAAAUGUAUGUUUUCUACACAUCGGAUUCCAAAUUUAAUUAAAUGCCUGUUGCCUAACAA